AGUUGUAUCCUGGCUCNNGAUAAAACGCUAGCGGUAUGCCUAACACAUGCAAGUCGUACGAGGGUUUCAUACCCAAGUGGCGGACGGGUGAGUAACACGUGAGAAUUUGCCCUAAGGAGGGGGAUAACAACUGGAAACGGUUGCUAAAACCCCAUAUGCUUCCGAGUGAAAUAGAUUUAUCUGCCUUAGGAGAAGCUCGCGGCUGAUUAGCUAGUUGGUAAGGUAAUGGCUUACCAAGGCGACGAUCAGUAUCUGGUUUGAGAGGACGAUCAGACACACUGGAACUGAGACACGGUCCAGACUCCUACGGGAGGCAGCAGUGGGGAAUUUUCCGCAAUGGGCGAAAGCCUGACGGAGCAAUACCGCGUGAAGGAAGACGGCCUAUGGGUUGUAAACUUCUUUUUUCAGGGAGGAACUCAAUGACGUGUACCUGAAGAAUAAGCAUCGGCUAACUCCGUGCCAGCAGCCGCGGUAAGACGGAGGAUGCAAGUGUUAUCCGGAAUCACUGGGCGUAAAGCGUCUGUAGGUGGUUUAAUAAGUCGACUGUUAAAUCUUGAGGCUUAACCUCAAAAUCGCAUUCGAAACUAUUAGACUUGAGUAUAGUAGAGGUAAAGGGAAUUUCCAGUGGAGCGGUGAAAUGCGUAGAUAUUGGAAAGAACACCGAUGGCGAAGGCACUUUACUGGGCUAUUACUGACACUCAGAGACGAAAGCUAGGGUAGCAAAUGGGAUUAGAUACCCCCAGUAGUCCUAGCCCGUAAACAAUGGAUACUAGAUGUUGGACAGAUCGACCUGUGCAGUAUCAAAGCUAACGCGUUUANGUAUCCCGCCCUGGGAAGUAUGCUCCCCAAGAANUGAAACUNCAAAGGAAUUGACGGGGGCCCNCACAA
rnacentral:rRNA from 1 species